AAAGUCGUAACAAGGUUUCCGUAGGUGAACCUGCGGAAGGAUCAUUACCGAGUUCUGGAUCCCCUGGGUCCGACCUCCAACCCCAUGUUUACCAUACCUCUGUUGCUUCGGCGUGCCGAGCGGCACGUCCGAGGACAUACCAAACUCUGUUUAUUACGUGGCUCUGAUUACUUAGUACAAUAGUUAAAACUUUCAACAACGGAUCUCUUGGUUCCC
rnacentral:misc_RNA from 1 species